UCUGAUUUGUAUUGCUUUGUGGAUCACCCGCCUCAGUGCAGCUUGUGGAAAGCCUCUGCUUUUAAAAUCAGAUGCUAUUUCAUUACAAUGGCCAGCUUGGGGGGUUGCUGUUGCGGUUAGCGAUUUACCCAUUUAGCACCAGAUCAUUUUCCACUGAGUCCUCACUACAGAAGGAGCAGGCAGCACCCGCAGCAGAUUCCAAACCCAGCUCAUUUGUGAACCUACGUACAUCACGGCCAGGGUGAAGGGAGAUAAUCCUGCAGAGAAGAGUCCUAACCAUACUGAACGUGUAGCGGGGAGAAAUUGAGACAGGCCCUCCCAGAGGACUUCUGGAGGAGAAGCUGUUGCAUUCAGAACUGUCACACAGAACAAGGAAAAAGAAAAACCCUCAUCCGAAACACAAUAAACCCGCUGUAUAAUGCUUAAAAAAUAGUUUGCUAAGAUUAGAGUUUCAAAACCUCUGCUUAGCAGGAGAGAAGCCUUUUGAUAUUUCUCUCACUUGAGAGAUCAAUUCUAGUUCAGCAGGGGGUCAGUCUGACCAGAAUGGUCUAAUUGUGACAGAACGUUGUUUUAAUUUCCAGUUUUCCCUUUGUCUGCUGAAAAGACAAUAAUCAUCCGAAGAAAGAGAGACAAAUAAAAUAAGGCCAUGCUCAAAAAAGAGGUCUGCCAAUUAAACAAUGCAUCACACAUUGGAGCAUUUGAACUGUAGGAUGGAUUUAAGGAAAAAUCCUGUAUCCUGUGUAUUAGGCAGAAUCAGAAAAUGCUUGAGUGGAUGGACAAGUGUUUUCAUUAGUGAGGUGAGCUGGUUAAUGAUUUUGUAGCCCUUGUGGCUAAAUUGUGUCCCCAGGCUAAAAUCUAGGCUGAACGUGGACUGACUAGCUGGGCUGGAUGCUGGGAGAUGCAGUCAGGAAUCUUCCUCCACCCCUGGUCGUAGAAGCUGCUUUAGCCCAGUGACUGCAGUGGCCUAUGGAAUUGCACAUUUGGAAAUGGCCACAGAUCGGCCAGCAGUCAGUGCAGCUGCUUUGGUGCUGACUCUUUGGUAUAGGCCUGGGCAAACCAGGGUUUGGACCGAUUGUUAGUGACUUUAUCCCUGCAACACCCCGUGAAAUGGGGCGUUACUUCUAUGCCUAUAG